rnacentral:rRNA from 1 species
GACGUUACUCGCAGAAUAAGCACCGGCUAACUCUGUGCCAGCAGCCGCGGUAAUACAGAGGGUGCGAGCGUUAAUCGGAUUUACUGGGCGUAAAGCGUACGUAGGCGGCUUUUUAAGUCGGAUGUGAAAUCCCUGAGCUUAACUUAGGAAUUGCAUUCGAUACUGGGAAGCUAGAGUAUGGGAGAGGAUGGUAGAAUUCCAGGUGUAGCGGUGAAAUGCGUAGAGAUCUGGAGGAAUACCGAUGGCGAANNGCAGCCAUCUGGCCUAAUACUGACGCUGAGGUACGAAAGCAUGGGGAGCAAACAGGAUUAGAUACCCUGGUAGUCCAUGCCGUANACGAUGUCUACUAGCCGUUGGGGCCUUUGAGGCUUUAGUGGCGCAGCUAACGCGAUAAGUAGACCGCNUNGNAGUACGGUCGCAAGACU